UAGUCAAGAUGACCUUCUAAUAGACCACUUGUUUCUAUAUCAAUUGCCUUGAUGGAUUUCCGUAGCUAAGCCAAUCCCCUGGACCAAUGUCUUUCUUGUUAGAAACUUAAGGCCUACCUGAUACCUGUCUCAUCAUUUCUUUUAUAAUUCUGUGCACUUUGAUGGGAUCGAUCCUGUUAAGCUAAUCGUUUUUCUUUCCACGAGACAUACGGAUCGGAUCUGCUAUAGCAGGAGGAGCAAAUCAUUUCUUUUAUAACUCUGUGCACUUUGUUACUUAUUCUUUUCUUUUAUAUUCUCCUCAUACGCAGGAGGAGCAAAAGCAGUUCAUGUACCAACAAAAGUUGAAUGCUUGGCUGGAAUCACCAUUAGGAUGGAAGCUUUGGGAUCAGAGCACUCAAUGGCUGUUACUGAUGGUCAUAUGGGGUAACUUUAUAUGUGAUGUUGAUGGGAUCAUAUCCUUUUGAGGAUCCAAAUGAACCCAAAUGAACCAAAGGAUAUCAGGAAGACUAUACAAUGACGGUGCAGCUGCAUUAGUGAUAGUGAGUGGGGAGAAGGCACUUGAACUUGGGUUACAUGUUCUUGUUCUUUGAUACAUCAUUUUGAUAAUGCAAAGUGCUUUCUCUUAAAAAGAAGUGGGAGAGGAGAAGCAACCAUGUUUAUACCCAAGUGGAUAUUGAUGAGAUGAGGAAUGAGUGGGCUAGGUUUGUGGUUAAUAAAUACGUGUAGAAGCCAUCG